rnacentral:RNase_P_RNA from 1 species
GCCGCUCCCCGGGCGGUCGCAGUUCCACGCAAGUGGAGGUGAGGAAAGUCCGGACACCAUAGAGCAACGCGCCCCAUGAAAGUGGGGGACGGGAAACGAGAGGAUCCCGGACAGACAGUGCAGCAGAAAGAUACCGCCGAUGGACCGCAAGGUCACAGGCAAGGGUGAAAUGGUGGAGUAAGAGCCCACCGCGAAUCCGGGCAACCGGACGGCAUGGCAAACCUCGCGUGGUGCAAGACAGAACAGGGAAAGGGCUGCUCGUCCGUUACAAAACCCGGGUAUUAGUCGCAUCCCGCGCAAGUGGGGCGCUCCGCUCCGGCGGAGUGAGAGAAAUGGCCGUCCAGCCUCGCAAGAGGGGGACAAAAUCCGGCUUACAGGGGGGCGGCACCU